CCCUGAUUCCUUCCCCGAUCUCGUCGCCACUGUCAUCUCAAGUUCUUUCUGCUCUGGGCCAAACUCCGCCGCCGAUGACGUUUCCCGUCUUCGCCGGCGAGAACCCACAGCUCUGGAAAACGCUCUCAGAACAAUACUUCCAGAUGUUCACGGUGCACGAAUCCUACCGGGCUCCAAUGGCGAUCCUGAAUUUCUCAGGACCAGCCGUGAUUUGGUUGCAGUCAGUGCAGCGUAAAAUUGCGGGGCUCAACUGGGAGUCAUUCACAGCCUUGUUGUGCACCAGAUUUGGUCGAGAUAAACAUCAGCUAUUAAUUCGCCAGUUCUAUGCUAUCCGUCAGACCAAUUCUGUCGCAGAUUUUAUUGAGCGAUUUGAAACUCUGAUGAACCAUAUGAUCUCAUACUCUGAACUGACCCAUCCUUAUUUUUUCCUGACGCGGUUCAUCGAGGGACUGCAUGCUGACAUUCGAGCAUUGGUUCUCAUCUAGCGACCGCCUGACUUAGACACAGCCUGCUCCUUGGCCCUGUUGCAAGAAGAAGUGGCAGAUGGCGAGGCCGUCCUACGUGCCACCGUUCCUCGACCACCAGCGUCGCGCUUCGCAUCGACCAGUACAACGCCAGCGCCAGUGGCAUUCCCUCGACCCACUGCUCCUACUCUGACAGCUGAAGAUAGGAGAGGCACUGACUCAACCAGAGCAGCGCCUGAUAACAGCAAAAUUGCAGCUCUCAGAACAUUCCGCAGAGCUCGAGGUCUCUGUUUUAAGUGCGGUGAGCAAUGGGGUAAAGAACAUACUUGUCCCCCUAGAGUUCAGAUGCAUGUGGUUGAGGAACUGCUUGCCCUGUUCAGUACAGAUGCAGAUGUACUUGGUGAUCGACAGGUCAGUUAACUGAACCUGAAGACGACAACCUCUGUUUUAUAUCCGUGCACGCAGUGGCAGGUUCAGAAGGUCCUGGUGUUAUGCAGUUGCAUGCCUGGGUUCAAGGCCGAGAGGUUCUUUUGCUGGUAGAUUCUGGGAGUACAUCAUCCUUUGUGGACCAACGUCUAGCUGAGCAACUGAAGGGUGUCUCACCAUUAACCAGUCCCUUCUAGGUCAAAGUAGCUGAUGGUGCUCUGUUGUUGUGUAAUAGUUACAUUCCACAGUGCCAAUGGAUGUGUCAGGGUCAAGAAUUCAUCACCGAUUUCAAAGUCAUAUCUCUGGGAGUGUAUGAUGCAAUACUAGGUAUGGACUGGCUCAAGAAACAUAGCCUCAUGUACAUUGAUUGGGAAGCACGUCACCUAUCAGUCACAAUAGGUACUGGUGUUGUUGAAUUACAGGCCGUCACUCAAGAUCUGCAACAAUGUGCCACUAUAUCACCCCAGGAACUUCUGCAUUCCUGCAAGCAACGGCCGUGGCUUAUGUUGUCACCUCAAUACUGUAGCAGAUCAAGGGAUUGUCGACAACACCAUACCCACUUAAAUUCUCAGAGUUCUCGAGCAGUACACAGAUGUAUUUGAGGAACCACACACCCUACCACCUCGGCGUGCUUGUGACCACCGUAUACCACUGAUGGAAGAUGUUCAACCAGUCAAUUUGCGUCCAUAUCUCCACAAACUUGAACUGAAGACUGAAAUUGAAAGACAAGUGAAGUAACUAUUGGAUGCUGGCAUUAUUCAGAAGAGCACCAGCCCCUUUUCCUCUCUUGCCCUGCUAGUGAAGAAGAAAAACGGUACCUGGCGCAUCUGCGUGGACUACAGGCACCUGAAUGCUAUGACUAUCGUCAGCAAAUACCUAGUGCCGAUCAUCGAUGAUCUUUUAGAUGAAUUGGUGGGUGCCCGUUGGUUUUCCAAGCUGGAUUUGCGUGCAGGGUACCAUCAGAUCUGUAUGGUUGAAGGUGAAAAAAAUAAGACAACAUUCACCACACAUUCAGGCCAUUGGGUAUUCCUAGUUAUGUCCUUUGGACUAGCAGGCGGAUCGGCCACUUUUAAUGGAGCCAUGACAACCACAUUGCAUCCAUUGCUGCGUGUUUGUGUGCUGGUCCUUUUCGAUGACAUUUUGGUCUUCAGCAAGACACUGUUGGAUCAUGUAUCUCACCUCAAGCAAGUGUUACAGCUCCUACGCAAAGAUGGCUGGCAAGUGAAACAGUCCAAAUGCUCUUUUGGUCAACAGCAAAUUGCUUAUUUAGGGCAUGUGAUCAAUGCUGAUGGGGUGUCGACUGAUCGAAGUAAAAUUGAUUCCAUUAGAAACUGGUCGGUGCCAACAUCUGCCAAAGAAGUGCGCAGCUUCUUGGGUCUUGCGGGAUAUUACCGGAAAUUUGUCAAGCACUUCGGCGAGGCCACUGUUCAAUCUGCUGAAGAAACACCAACCUUUUGUUUGGACGGAGGACACGCCGGAAGCUUUCACUCUAUUACAGCAAGGUCUCAUUUCAGCACCUGUCUUGCAACUGCCGGAUUUCUUCAAACAAUUUGUGAUUGACACCGAUGCUUGUGACUAUGGAGUGGGCGCUGUGCUACAACAAGGGGGGCAUCCCAUUUGGGGCCAAAGCAUAGGGGUCUCUCCACUUACGAGAAAGAGUGUCUGGCUAUACUGAUGACCGUAGAGCAAUGGCGCCCCUAUCUCCAUCAUGACGAGUUCCUGAUUCUCACGGAUCAACGCAGUCUCAUCCAUCUCGAUGAUUAACGGCUGUCCACAGUGUGGCAACAGAAAGCUUUCACUAAGUUGCUGGGUCUGCGAUACAAAAUCAGUUAUCGCCAAGACACUGCCAACAGCACCGCUGACGCGCUCUUCGGCCGCUUACACACUUCAAACCAAGCCAUGGCCAUGUCAGUGUGCCAACCUACUUGGGUGGAGGACAUCCGUGCCAGCUAUGCAGAGAAUGACCAAGCUAAGAAACAACUCACCGAAUUUCCCAAGCGACCCGAUGCAAAAUAGAGGUUUUCUGUCUCAGACGGCUUGCUGUACUAACGCCACAGAUUAUGGCUCGGUGGGUCGCCAGCACUACAGCAGCGUAUUCUGCGCGCCUUCCAUGAUAGCACCAUGGGUGGGCACUCCGGAUUUCCGGUCACCUAUCAUCGCAUCCGCCGCCUUUUUGCCUGGCCCAAAAUGAAGGACACUAUUCGCCAGUAUGUGCGCACUUGUGCUGUCUGUCAGCAAGUCAAGCGGGAGCGAGUCAAAUACCCUGGUCUGUUAGAACCAAUUCCAUUUCCGGAAGGAGUUUGGGAGGUUGUUACUAUGGACUUCAUUGAUGGCCUCCCGCAAUCCAACAGGGCCAACCGUAUCCUUGUCGUUGUGGACAAGUUCACACGGUAUGCUCAUUUUCUGCCACUGAUUCAUCCUUUCACAGCAGCUAAGGUCGCUCGAGCUUAUUUGGACAAUGUUUACAAGCUGCACGGUCUCCCUAGGGCAAUUAUCUCGGAUCGAGACCCGACGUUUAUCAGCAGAUUCUGGCAGGAAUUGUUCAAAAUCAUUGGGACAGAGUUGAACAUGAGCACAUCGUAUCAUCAGCAGACGGACGGCCAGACAGAAUGUGUCAAUAAAUGCUUGGAGAUCUAUCUUCGCUGCUUCAUCCAUGCCUGUCCAAAUUACUGGAGUCAGUUUCUGCCGCUGGCUGAGUUCUGGUAUAAUUCGAGUUACCACUCUGCCCUAGACAUGUCACCAUUCCAUGCUCUGUGUAGCCAUGAGCCGAGGCACUUGGGCAUUGAGGUUGCAUCUGCUUGUAAGAUCCUGCUCUUGGAAUGGCUGGUGGAAAGAACCAUGCAGCAAGUCCUUAAGCAGCACCUACAUCGAGCUCGCCACAUCAUGAAGAUGCAAGUAGAUAAGAAACACACUGACCAAUCAUUUCAACCUGGUGACGAGGUUUACAUCAAGCUCCAGCCGUAUGUACAGUCUUCAGUCCACCACAAAGCCAACCACAAGCUGUCCUUUAAAUACUUUGGACCAUUCCAAGUAUUGCGAGCCAUCAACCCGGUCGCUUAUGAGCUCGCACUACCACCAGGCUCGCAAGUUCACCCCGUUUUUCAUGUCUCUCAGCUACAACAAGCUCUGUCUCCAGGUACAACAGCUUCUUCGACUCUGCCGGUACCGCCUAAGGCUGAUCUCAUUCCGGUAGAGAUCUUGCAAACAAGAUGGCGCCAAACACCUUCAGGGUGCCGAGAGCAGGUCCUGGUACGUUGGUCAAACUCCGAGGAGGUGGACGCUACUUGGGAGGAUGCCAUUGCCUUACAGUCUCGUUUCCUCAUCUGCCGGCUUGGGGGCAAGCCGCAAGUCAAGGAGGAGGGGAUGUCACCAUCCAACAUGCAGAGGGUGAGACGGGCAGCGAAACAGCUGCCAUAGCAGCGAAAGGCAAAGGCACUGCCACGGCAGCUGAUCGGGCCACGCUGGCAGACAAGUGGACGAAUCAAGGCGAAGGACGCGUCAUCGCCAGGCCAACAAGGAUUCGCCACACCAACCGCUGGUUCGUGGGCCCGGACUGGGACAGCACUACUUAAGCGCAGAAUAUCGGAGGAGGGGCAUCCGGGCUUGGAUCACGGCAGCGGCAACGGCACGACACUUACUUUCUUCUUCCUUUUUCUUUCGGCAAGUUGUAUCCAGAGAGUGAAUCACUGCCCUCCUGUGGCUGUACUCGAAUUGUGAGAGAAACUAGAUCGGGUACCUAACAAAGUGCAUCUUGAGGUUGAGAAACUCCGUGCUGAAAACCAGGAAUUAACUAUUAAAUUACAGAAGCUGACUGAACAAGUUAAAGCAGACAAAAGGUCUGAAGUCAACCAAAGCUUUCCUGAACUGCGUGCUGAGCUAGAGGAGUUGCAGAAAGAGUAUCGGUACAUACGAUCUGAAUUUGAGCAUAAUCGGGACAUAAAUACCAAGCAAGCUGAGCAGAUGAAAACAAUGGAAAUGAGCCUCAUAGCCAUGACCGAACAGGUUGAGAAGUUACGUGCGGAGAUGCAAAAUGCUGACAUGAGAGCACAAGGACUGGUGCAAGUAGCAGCAGGUCAAUCUGGGACGGCACAAGCUCAAGUUGCAUAUGGAAGUGCAUUUAACAAUCUCCCUGCUCAAACAACUCAAGCUUAUGGCAUGCCUUACGCAUACACUAAUCCCAUGGCGGGCUAUCAAGAUGUGCAAGCUAGUGGACAUGCUGGCUACCCAGUUGCCAGUUAUGAUCAGAAUGCCAUCCCCUACUAUACAAUCUAUCCUGGCUACCCUGCAGGUUAUGAUCAGAAUGGCCUCCCCUACUAUACUGGCUACCCAGCAGGUGAUGAUCAGAAUGCCAUGCACUUCUAUCUUGUCGCCUAUGCUGCAACUGCGGUGGGCGUCCCAGCAACUGAUGCUGCCAACAUGGACGGCAAUGCUGGAUCUCCUGCCGGCGCCGGGCAGGCCGAAUCGACGGGCCACAUCACACUUGCAUCAGAUGCUCCUCCCGUCGCUGCAAUCGGCUCUCCGCUACUGGAGAAGUGAGAACCUGAGGUUUGCAAUGCAAAUGAGGUGUCGGCACCUCGUACCAAAUUUCCUUUCAUUUACCGGCAAGACAUUUGUUAUGCCAUUGCUGUGGUGUUAUUAGGACGUAGGGUGCGAUCACCCAAGUUACCUGGAUUCUGGACUUCAUUUUCUUUUGUUUGUCGUUGUUCCUGACUGGAUUGAUGGACCGCAGACACAUCACUCACUGUUAUCGUCCUUGAACUCUGAUUGGCGAUGUGAUUCUGGAUUAUAUGCUUUGUUCGCUAUAUAUGUAUUUCUAUC